GGCGUAGUAUUUGCAGGGGAAGUGGCACUGGAGCUCAAGACUCUUCCCCAGCACAGCGGUCACAUUCUCCGGUACCUUGAGGCUUGGUUUUCCUGAGGCAGGGAAGGAAGAAGACAUAGGCAUAGAAGUUGGCAUGUGGAGGUGCUGUAGGAAAGUGACCAUGGUGGUGAUCUUUGUCCUCAUUUCUCCUUUGCAUAGUGCUCUAAAUAGAAUAGGCUAAUUACUUAAGCAACAGAAUGAUGUGCUGAUGUCAUUGUCAUUACUGAUGCCCACCGUGAUCGGUCCAGAGUCUGUUAAGAGAACACAGAGCUUUGCUCCUUGGUUUCAGUUUGCUUCCCUUACGCUUCCUUUUCUUCUAGACUCACAUACAAGAGCCUUAUUCAAUAUUCUACUUCACCUACUGCAAAAGAGGCCAGUGUUCCUGAAAUUAGGAAGUGCUACAUGUAGUAAUUGGGAAGAGUGUGGGGUGCUUGUCAUAGGUACCAAAAUGUGACCUUUGAAUAGGAAGGCUGUCUCCUGAGGACUGUCCUCAUCCACACACCAGGAUGCAGGGUGGAGGCCCUCACCUUUCUCAGAAAAAGAAAAAAACCCUCUCAGAACAUAUAGCUAGAGCCACCAUGACCAGACCUGAUGAGCUUCACCACCAUGGAUGGGUCUUACCCUCAUUGAUGAAGAGUUGCCAAGCCUGGAUGGGCCAGCCUUCCUUCUGCUGACCGCCGGGGUGCGCCCCGCAUAGGUAGUGUCCUGCAUCCCCCUUCUUCAGGCCUGUGAGCAGCACACUGAAGCGGCCGUUUCCCCUUUGGGCUCGUAGACCGCUUGUUCCACCUUCGAUAAAGAAGCCCGCAGCACCGGGAGCCUUACCCUGGCUGACCUCCAGGCUUACAUCGAAGGACAGGCCUCGGCUACUGAUGCCCAGACCACACUUGUAGCGUCCAGAGUCAUCCCGGGAGAGCUGGGAAAUGUUCACCACGAACGCGCCCUCCUCCGGGAAGUUGGUGAGGUUGGCUCUGCCCAAGUAGUCCUUGGAGACGUAGCCCUCCGAGGAGAUGAGGGUCGUGCAGACGCCCCUGGACCCUUGCCGGCACCAGUACUUCCGGGUGUGCCGGUUGACAGAGGUGGCCGGGUAGUAGCACUUGAUGGACACUAAGUUACCUUCCACACUACUUACCUCCGCGGGACCAAAUAUGGGACUUUUCAUGAAGACCACUGUGGGAACAGAAGACGGAGGCUUUAAGACACCCGGGGGUUGGGGGGUGGGUAAAAGAUUGGUGGAGGGAUCCAGACAGCUCCCCUAAAAGAUGCAAUUUCUACCUGUGGAUAUUUACAAGAUACAAGUAUAUAAUUGCUGUAUUGGGUAAAAUGAUUUCUUAACCACUAUUAAAUUCUAAUGCAAUUCAAUUGCAAUCUUUUAAACACAA